AGUGGGGUAGAGCAGAUGGUCAGCUCGCCAGCCUCAUAAGCUGGAGGUCGGAGGUUCGAGUCCUUCCCCCGCAACAA
rnacentral:tRNA from 1 species